CUCUGGCUAUUAUUACAUCUUCUCCAACUACCUUUUUUUUGGUCAAACGGAAAUAUAUCUUCUCCGACCUUCGUCGUUGAGUUCCCCUACGGAUUUCUCGUUCUCCUGACAAGUGACAACUACAUCUUCUCCGACGUUCACCAGUCAGCGAUUUCUUGAAAGGGUUUGAUUUUGGGUUUGGCCAACACCCAUUUAUGGUUGUUGGUAUCACAAAAAAAUUACAGCUGGUACUUGAUUCAGUUACAUUCUCAAGUUUCUGACUUAACUGUGCCUCAUCGAUGAUUUUGGGUACCCUUUCAAGAAAGGGAUUUGAGCUUUUUUCUUGGACAUUUUGUUCACAACCUGGCCUGGUAAUCUUCUAUUAGUCCAAAAUCAUAUCUGCAAGUGGCAGAAUCAUCCAAGAUUUGGUUUAGGUGCCCAAAUUCCAGGCCAUGGAUGUAUCCUGAAGCAUAUCAGAUCAAGCAAAAUAUAUUCCUCAAAAAGUUUUGGAGCUUCCAUCUCUUGUUCUACAGGUGUGGACAAAGAUUUUUCUUACCUCCCAUUACUCAACUAGCUGAAGCAAAGAAGAUUUAUUCGGUAGCUCCUGCCAUGGGUCAUAAUAAGGUAUUUUGAACAUUGAAUAAAAGUUUCCAGCAG